rnacentral:rRNA from 1 species
AUUGAACGCUGGCGGCAUGCCUAACACAUGCAAGUCGAACGGGGGCAGCAAUGCCCUAGUGGCGGACGGGUGAGGAAUACGUAGGAACCGGCCCACGAGUGGGGGACAACCUGGGGAAACCCAGGCUAAUACCGCAUACGCUCGCGAGAGGAAAGCGGGGGACCUUCGGGCCUCGCGCUGGUGGACGGGCCUACGUCCGAUUAGCUAGUUGGUGGGGUAAAAGCCUACCAAGGCGACGAUCGGUAGCUGGUCUGAGAGGAUGAUCAGCCACACUGGGACUGAGACACGGCCCAGACUCCUACGGGAGGCAGCAGUGGGGAAUAUUGGACAAUGGGCGCAAGCCUGAUCCAGCAAUGCCGCGUGGGUGAAGAAGGCCUGCGGGUUGUAAAGCCCUUUAAGCGGGGAGGAAAGCCGGGGUGUGAAUAGCGCCUCGGGGUGACGUUACCGCAGAAUAAGCACCGGCGUAACUCCGUGCCAGCAGCCGCGGUAAU